GCGGAUGUGGCGGAAAUGGUAGACGCGUCGGUCUUAGAAGCCGAUUCUCAAUGAGUGCAGGUUCAAUUCCUGUCAUCCGCA
rnacentral:tRNA from 1 species